GGCUAUGUUCGUAAAUGCAUCAUGACGCGCAUCAUGACGAUUGCAUAACAAACAGAACGUUCAGAAAUGCCAAUAUUGCAGCACUGCAAUAAUCAAGCGUUCAAAAAGACAACACUUCUAUCAGUUGUCACUCAUAAUUUCUAUCAAAAAAUUGUUUACUGCAUUUAACUACGAUGUCUGACGAAAAUGAAAAUCUCAGUAAUGCGGAGACACAGUUAUUGCUAAGAGUACGGUUGAAUAUGGAGGACGAGUUUAAAUCGGGUAGAAGGAAAAAAAAUUUAUUGUGGAAGAAUGUUGUGACCGAAGUUAAAAAAGUAAAUGAAAA